GACCUAGAAAGUAAUCCCUGCUGCCCUUUCGCUGGCCCAGGAAGGGGUAAAUCACAGAUCAGUGUCAGAGGUGCGAUGAAAACCCAGGAGUUCUGAUUCCUGGGUCACCAUGCUCCCUUUGCCAAGGGUGGAGCCGACACCAACAGACUCUUAGCUCCUGUGCCCUGUGCAUCCUGGUGUUCGUGCACGUGCUGCACGGAAGAGCUGCAUCCUGGGACAAUUUUAUGGCUGAUGAGAACAUAUCCUGAUCCACUCCACAUUUCAGUGUAACCUUGCAGUAUACCUGUAACACUGGAGGCACACAUCUCUUCCCUAGCAGCCCUUAAGAACCUGAAUGGUAGAGAGAGGGAGGAUCACAAAAGUUUGCUUCCAGCUCUAUACUCACCCACAGAUCAACGAGGGGCAAGGAUAGAAGCAGAGACAUCAAUGGAGAAGAGGCUAUAGAAAGAUUCUGAGCAAGAAAUGACAAUGGGUUGGUAAUGGUAGUGCAGGUGAUAAGAAGAAGUCACGUUCCAGAUGUACUUUUUCAGAUCAUUUGCUCUGGAGAAAGCCAGCAGGCAUGAGAGGCCCAUGUGGUGAGGAACUGAAGCCUCCUGCCCACAGCCACAUGUGUGAACUUAGAAAUUAGAAGAUCUUCUAGCCCAGUCAAUGGCUGUACAAUGGCUACAACCCUGGCUAAUACCUUGACUUCAACCUCACGAAACACUGAGCUAGAACCACCCAACUAAGCUGUUCCUAGAUUCCUCACCAUCAGGAACUGUGUGCUCCUGCAGACAGAUCAUCAGAAAAUUCAACUUUCAAGUGAGGAUCAUAAGCCAGAGAGUGCAGGACUCCACACCAGGGCAGAUGACCUGUGGAUUCCAGAAGCUCUCAGGAAUUUUGCAGAUUUCUCAAGGGCAACCCUGUCCAUAGAACGGGGAAAAGAACAAGCCCAUGCCUCCAAAGAGAAACUUCACAGUUCGCCUAAGUUUAACCUCUAGUGAUUCAUUCUCUUGUGUGUGGGGGCCUUCUGAUCUCUGGGAGCUCCCUCAAAGGCAAACUCCCAUGCAGAGGGCAUUUCUGAGGACUGAAAUCCAGGUGAUAAUAGUAACUACUGCUUUUUUAGCAUUUAGUGCUAACUUUGGCAUUUGGGCAACCAUCAAACACUCUCUUCCAUCAUCUCGCCCCUCCACCCACAGCCCUGUGUUAUCAAUCCCCUUUCCCAGCCAACCUGGGGACAAGUUGACUUGUCAUCACCAUCUGUACCUCCCCACUUUACACUCUCUCCACAGUCCACUCCACUAGGGCAUUGGCUGCACAUGUCACCAAAACCACUCUUGUCAGUGUCACCAAAAACUCCCAUGUUGCAAGAUACAAAGGCCAUUUUUCGGUCUCUUGUACUGAGCCUCUCCUAGAAGCAUAAGGUCCCUGGGCUUCCUUGGCACCUCCUCCGCCAGCAUCUUCUCCUCUUUUUGGCUGCUCCUGCCAUAGUUCACCCACUGCCCUCUCCUUCUACCACUCUGUCGAGUACUGGUGCACCCCAGGGCUCAGUCCUAAGCCCCAUUCUUCCCUCUAUCCAUGUGUGCUCCUGCAGUCCCAUGGUUUACACACCAUGCAUUUACCAAUGCCUUUAUAUAGUUCUCCCACCCAAACCUCUCCCUGAGCUCCAGCCAGAAUCACAUAUACAACUGCCUACCUGACCUCCCCACUCAGAUAUAUUACAGAUCACUCGGCUAGUAGCUGGCUAAGGCAGGACAUAAACUCAACUUCAGGUAGAUCUGAUCUCAAGGCCUGCAUUCUUAAUGACUCCUGGACUAGAAUCCAAGGAGACAGCUAUAAACUCUCUGAGAGAAGAGGCAUCUCCACUCCAAAGAUCUACCCAAUGGCCUAGGACAGACUUAUUCCAUCACUUCUCAUGCUGUGAGAAAUCUGUCAUUGUGGGAUUUCCCCACUUAAGUAUAACUAGGUGGUUACCUUUCCUGCAAUUUUCAAACAGGGCAGAUAUGUUAGGGGUAACAUGGACCCACAAACACCUGGUAUGUCUGUGUCUUCCCAGAGUGUAAACUCUGCUCAAACAUGGACACAGAAAGGCAGACAGCAGGAGAAAUCAUUUUCCUACAAAGAGAAAACAGAUGUGUCUUGGAAGAGAAAAUGAGAUACAACUUUUUGUAAUUUAAAAAACAAGACUUCAAACUUCAGGUGGACACCUUAGCCUUCUGCCACAGAUUCAAAGGAUAUAAAGUAGAACUACAAAGAGCUUAAGUCCUGACUCCUAGAAGCUUGUUUCUAAUAUCUGCCUCCAUUAGCCUUCGUCUUAAACCAGGAAGGUGGUAUGAACACUCAACAAACCGUCAGUGUACUUUGGAAGAGGUGGGAUAAAAGUGGACAUUUUUGCCUUGCCUCUGAUGUCUUUAGCGAAGCCAAAUAAAUCUGGAAAGAAAAAUUAAAUAUUUCCCUGAAACCUCACAGGAGAAAAAAAGAGAAAGGCUUUCAGAAGUCCCCAGAGAAACAAGAAAUGACUAUUUCCAAAACAAAGUUUGAUUUGAAAUUAUAAGAAGCUAGAGGUAGUUUUGAAAACCAGUGAACACUCAUGAACUUAAUCAGGCUUAGCAAAGCAGAGACAGAAAUGCAGAUUGGAAGUUGCCCCUGGAUAGCUUGGCCAGCAGAAUAAAACCCAGAGGCAGAAUCAAUUUUUUUUCUUUCAGAUUAAAGCCGCAGCAUCUCUCAGUUGAAGGCAGAGGUAUAAAGUCAAAGACUCCAGAAGUUCUUGGAAAAUGAUAAGUCAAUCUCUUGACAAAUGAUCCAGGGGCAACUUCGAAUUCCUGUUUCUAUCUCUACCUCUCUGAUUACUUUAACAAGCACUUUCUGAUUGGACCUUGGUAAUUCCAGCAAGCCAAGACUUUCCAUGGGACUUCACCUUACCCUCUUAGAUUACUGGCAACCUCGCAUCCCCUGAAUUCCUGUUCAGGGAGAAGAGCAAGUCCUUCCUUCAGGGACUGGAGAAUGACAACCUUCACAGAACCCAGAGCUAGAGACUGAGGACUCAGAAUGUAGACUGGGAAUAAGAGAACUACAGCCAGGGGCCAAAUCCCUCCAGCCACAACAACAACAAAAAAAAAAAAAAAAAAAAAAAAA